rnacentral:lncRNA from 1 species
GGGUCAGCUCCGCGGUGGCACCAGAGCUGGGUCCCAGCAGCAGCCCCACGCUCACUUGCCCCGGCCGACGUCCCCACACCUGGCCUGCCUUUCUCGCCACCUGUCCCAGGUCACCUGUCCUCCAAGCCGGAAAUCAAGCACCGUUUUCUCCCCCUACCGCCCGGCUGCAGGCCUCGGAUGUCCCGCCGAGUCCCCCUGGCCUAGCCCGCCGGAGCCAGACCCCCAUCCUCCCUCUCCGUCCGCGUUGAGCUCCCUGCGCGGUGGGUGAGGGGGCCGAGCAAGCGCCCAGGCCUCUGAAAUGGGGAGCAAGUCCCUUCCUCCCGCCGAGAGUAGGGUGUCAGCGCCGCACUGGAUCCCGUCCAGCUCCGCCUCGAUCCUCGGGCCGAUCCACUCUCCUGCUGUGCGGGGCUAAAGGCUGCAGGCGGCGGCGCUGAGAGAGGAAGGUCAGCGGGAUCCCCUUCUCCGGCUCGUGCAUCCGGCACCCGCGCCGGUCCCCGGGGAGAGACGGAGGGAGGCCGGAGACUCGAAGAACUGGGGACCGAGAGAGACUCCGAGCCACCCACGUCCUUCCUCGCCCCCGCCCCCCACCCCGGUCCAGGGCAGGGCGAGGCCCCAGGCCGGCCGCCCGCAUCUGCCUUUCCGCGGUGGCGGUUCGCGGGCGCUGCGGUCCGGGGGAGGCUGAGCGGCUGUGUGUCGCCCGGGCCGGGAGGGGGCGCCCGAGAGAAGCUCCGCGGCCCACGGGUGAACGCCCAGCCGGGACCCCAGAACCCCGCGGUGGGGGGCAGGCCCAUCCCAGCUGACGCAGAGUCUCGGAACCCGGUUCAACGCGGUCCCCCCCAGGCAGGCUCAGGGUAGGUCACGGGAGGGCGGUUCCGGCCUGGGGGCAGUCCUGGGUCCCCGUCUCCCCACUCCAGACCUCUCCGCCCACUUGACCCCGCGCUCACAGUAGGCGGAGCACACCACAGCCCCCGUGGAGGCUGACGACAGAGUGGGUGCAUAGACUCUGGGAAGGGUGCCCUGCACGCCUGCUUGCCCAUGCUGCCUGGGGCUACUUCUCUUGGUGUGAUUCUUUUAUUAUGGCAUUAUAGAAACUCCGGAAUCUGAGUAUUUACAUUAAAGAGAAGUGUCAGUCUUUAGGGGCUGGAGAUGUGGUGUUGGAGCAAGACGGCUGCAAAUCUCUGCCUCCGGGCCUUUCACUCUAGCGAGUGAGAAAAGGAGAGCGACGUUUUCUCCAGCAGGACCACCCUCUUUCCUAGCUGUCAAUCCAUCCCUGGGUCCGUUCACUCCUCCCCUGCCCAUUUACUUAGGGCCCUCCGCCCACCGGCCCACCGAGGCAGAAGGGCUGCUUCUGGACCUGCUUCCCCCUGAGGAUCAAAGUAUAGGACCUGGGUGCUCACGUUCCGAUUAACACCCAACCGCCUUAAUUCCCUUCGCUCUGCUGGUGCCUUCGGGGGAGCCUGGGUGUUUUAUUCCAGGAUCGCCACAAGAGGGCGCCAAGACAAACCUGCCUCCUCGGAGCCAGGAUUCCACCCACACAGAGGGCUCCCAGCGGGUGCUGCCCUACCCCUGCUCAAGCUUUGGCGGCUGAGGGCAGGUGGAGGGGCUGCAUAGGGGAUAACUCGGGCCACACCGCAGCCAGGGAGCAUCAGAGGUGGUUGGUCCUUACUCUUUUUUUUCUUUUUAGGGCUGCUCCUGCGGCAUAUCCAAGUUCCCAGGCGGAGCUACAGCUGCCAGUCUACACCACACCCACCUCAAAGGCAGAUCCUUUGACCCACUGAAGGAGGCCAGAAAUCGAACCCACACCCUCAUGGAUACUAGUCAGGUCUCCUACCCUGCAGCCACUCUGCCCAGAUCAGGCCUCCCCAGUCCUGCCCCUGGGAACGGGUGCAGAGAGCUACAGCCAGUCCAUGGCCAGAAGAUGGAGGCUUCGAGAUUUGGAUGCAAUGCACAUGCGUACACUGACGCUUCUCUUCUGACCUGCCUCCUUUUUUUGAACCAUCAGACUGUGAAUUCAUCAGACGUGCAUAUGGAUGGGAUCUUAUUCACCUUGGUAAUCCCAGAACACAGCACUAGCACUGAG